rnacentral:rRNA from 1 species
UACGAAGGGGGCUAGCGUUGCUCGGAAUCACUGGGCGUAAAGGGUGCGUAGGCGGGUCUUUAAGUCAGGGGUGAAAUCCUGGAGCUCAACUCCAGAACUGCCUUUGAUACUGAUGAUCUUGAGUUCGGGAGAGGUGAGUGGAACUGCGAGUGUAGAGGUGAAAUUCGUAGAUAUUCGCAAGAACACCAGUGGCGAAGGCGGCUCACUGGCCCGAUACUGACGCUGAGGCACGAAAGCGUGGGGAGCAA